rnacentral:sRNA from 1 species
CAAAGAUAAUACUUAUUUCUUAAAUUAGUAUGUAAUGUAUAGUAAAAAAAAAAGUCAGAGAAAUUAAUAUACCAUGCUGGCACUGAUUAAGUGCACUAAUAUGACUCUUUCACACAAUCAGACAUUGUUGUAUUGUCAUGUUCUCAGGUCAUUUUAACUUGUUAAGUAAUAUAGUCUAUCAAUGUUUACAAUCAUGGCAUAGUGGAUGAGUAUACGAAACCAUUUCAUAGAUAAACCUGACUUGUUUGUGAAUAGUGAUAUGUGGUGUUACCUCCCUUUGUAUAUACAUCUUCCUGCAAUCAAACAUACAUGUAUGUACAUUUCCCCUUAUGUUUAUGUAUAUAUUCAUGAAAUUAUUAAAUUUUGUACAUAUU